rnacentral:misc_RNA from 1 species
GAUGAAGAACGUAGCAAAAUGCGAUAAGUAAUGUGAAUUGCAGAAUUCAGUGAAUCAUCGAAUCUUUGAACGCACAUUGCGCCCGCUGGUAUUCCGGCGGGCAUGCCUGUUCGAGCGUCAUUUCAACCCUCAAGCCCCCGGGUUUGGUGUUGGGGAUCGGCUCUGCCUUCUGGCGGUGCCGCCCCCGAAAUACAUUGGCGGUCUCGCUGCAGCCUCCAUUGCGUAGUAGCUAACACCUCGCAACUGGAACGCGGCGCGGCCAUGCCGUAAAACCCCAACUUCUGAAUGUUGACCUCGGAUCAGGUAGGAAUACCCGCUGAAUUUAAGCAUAUCAAUAAGCGGAGGA